rnacentral:lncRNA from 1 species
UUAACAUUUAUCUCUGCUAUAAUAGCAAUUAAAUGUCUAUGUAAGUUUUAGUAGAGAUACACAUACAAAUGCUCUACUUCUUGUUGUUUGAAAAGGAAUUACAGAAGUGGGCAUAAACACAGCAUAACUUCACUACUGUGUCAGGGAAAGAAAGGAGGCUUGGAAGUUAUUCUGGCUUAAGAGAAGGACACAACCCAGAAAAAUGCUUAGCUACUGAAGAAAAGCAUUAGAACACAAUCCAAAAGUGGAGCUGUGUGAGGAGAAUUUUGAGUGCUUGUGAGAAAACUAUAAGAAAGCAAGAAAUGGGUCUUGUGACCCCAGUUUCUUCAAAACACAAAAUUGUUCUUAGAUUAUGCUUCCAUGCCCCCUCAAAGGAGUGGAUAGGAGUGAAUUUGUUCAGAUUAUUCAUUACAACUGCUUAGAGUUAUUGGCUUUUCUGUCUCUUUGCAGAAACAUGUUUUUGACCCAUGAGGCUUGUCCUUGUGAUCAGACACUUUACUCAGUUGACCCUCAGAGUCUGAAGCUCAGAAUAAAGUUCGCUAUUGUAUAAGACUUCAGCUUGCCUCAUUUACUGACUCUGUUCUCCCAGGUCAUACUGCCUCUAGAACAGUAAACAAAAAGAGGCUUAAAAAUAGAUAAGGAGAGAGUGGACAGCUUUUUAUCUUGUUCCUGAUUUUAGUGGAAUGGCUUUGAGUUUCUCUCCAUUUAGUUUGAUGUUGGCUGUUGGCUUCCUAUACAUUGACUUUAUUAUGCUUAGGUAUGUUCCUUGUAUUCCUGAUCUCUCCAAGACUUUUAUCAUGAAGUGGUGUUGGGUUUUGUCGAAGGCUUUUUCAGCAUCUAAUGAGACGAUCAUGUGUUUUUUUUCUUUCAGUUUGUUUAUAUGGUGAAUUACAUUGCCAGAUUUCCAUAUGUUGAACCAACCCUGCAUCUCUAGGAUGAAGCCUACUUGGUCAUGGUGGAUGAUUUUUUAAAAUGUGUUCUUGGAUUUGGUUUGCCAGUAUUUUAUUGAGUAUUUUUGCAUCGAUGUUCACGAGGGAGAUUGAGCCCUCAUCCAGUGGCUGAUGGAAGCAGAGACAGAUAUCCACAGAUAUACACUGAGUUGAAAUCUGGAAUUUAGUUGAAGAGAGGGAGGAAUGAAGAGCAAAGGGAUCUGUGCCAGGCUGGAGAAACCCACAGGAACAGUUGGCCAGAACAAGGGAGAGCACAUCGACCUCAGAUGCUGUUGGGGAGGUCAGUACAAGACUGAUCCAGACCCCUGAACAUGGAUGUCAAUAAGGAGGCCUCUGCACUCCAGGGAGACUCUGGUGGUGGAUUAGUAUUUUUCCCUGGUGCAAGAAGGGACUUUGAGAGCCCAUCCCAUGUGAAGGGUUAUACUCUGGCCCUGGACACAUGGGGAAGGGCCCAGAACCAGCACAGGAAGAUUUGGUGGACUUUGCAGAGCCCCCAUUGAGGGCCCUACCCUGCCUGGGGAGUGGUGGGUGGAUGGGGUGGGGG